rnacentral:rRNA from 1 species
UCGCUACUACCGAUUGAAUGGCUUAGUGAGCCUCAGGGACUGUUGCACUCCGUUGGGUUUCCUUCGGAGCGUUUACGGGAACUGAGUCAAACUUGAUCAUUUAGAGGAAGUAA